CCCUUAGAUGUUCUGGGCCGCACGCGCGCUACACUGACGAAUGCAACGAGCUUAUAACCUUGGCCGAAAGGUCUGGGUAAUCUCCAAAUUUCGUCGUGGUAGGGAUCGGGGCUUGCAAUUAUUCCCCGUGAACCAGGAAUGCCCAGUAAGUGCAAGUCAUAAGCUUGCGUUGAUUACGUCCCUGCCCUUUGUACACACCGCCCGUCGCUACUACCGAUUGAACGUUUUAGUGAGGUACUCGGACUGAGCCUCAGAAGAUUCACGUCUUUUGUGCUGCUCGGGAAGAUUCCCAAACUUGAGCGUUUAGAGGAAGUAAAAGUCGUAACA
rnacentral:rRNA from 1 species